AGACCCGAAACCCGGUGAUCUAGCCAUGGGCAGGUUGAAGGUUGGGUAACACUAACUGGAGGACCGAACCGACUAAUGUUGAAAAAUUAGCGGAUGACCUGUGGCUGGGGGUGAAAGGCCAAUCAAACCGGGAGAUAGCUGGUUCUCCCCGAAAGCUAUUUAGGUAGCGCCUCGUGAAUUCAUCUCCGGGGGUAGAGCACUGUUUCGGCUAGGGGGCCAUCCCGGCUUACCAACCCGAUGCAAACUGCGAAUACCGGAGAAUGUUAUCACGGGAGACACACGGCGGGUGCUAACGUCCGUCGUGAAGAGGGAAACAACCCAGACCGCCAGCUAAGGUCCCAAAGUCAUGGUUAAGUGGGAAACGAUGUGGGAAGGCCCAGACAGCCAGGAUGUUGGCUUAGAAGCAGCCAUCAUUUAAAGAAAGCGUAAUAGCUCACUGGUCGAGUCGGCCUGCGCGGAAGAUGUAACGGGGCUAAACCAUGCACCGAAGCUGCGGCAGCGAACGUAUCACCCAAGACAACUUUACGGAGUUGACGAUUGACGGAGCGAAGCGACGUCAAAGCGUUCAUU
rnacentral:rRNA from 2 species